rnacentral:rRNA from 1 species
GACGAACGCUGGCGGCGUGCCUAACACAUGCAAGUCGAGCGGAGCGGCGAACGGGUGAGUAACGCGUGAGUAACUGCCCCCCUCUCUGGGAUAACAGUUGGCAACGGCUGCCAAUACCGGAUAGUGUGGGAUGACUCGCGCCCUAUCAGCUUGUUGGUGGGGUAGUGGCCUACCAAGGCGACGACGGGUACCCGGCCUGAGAGGGCGACCGGCCACAUUGGGCGGAGAGACGGCCCAAAAUCCAACGGGGGGCAAUGGUGGGGAAUAUUGCACAGUGGUGGAAACCCUGAUGAAGAGGCGCGCGUGCGGGAUGAAGGCCUUGGGGUUGUAAACCGCUUACAGCCAUGACGCGGUAGUGGCAGAAGAAGCACCGGCUAACUACGUGCCAGCAGCCGCGGUAAUUC